rnacentral:rRNA from 1 species
GACGAACGCUGGCGGCGUGCUUAACACAUGCAAGUCGAACGGAAAGGCCCUGCUUUUGUGGGGUGCUCGAGUGGCGAACGGGUGAGUAACACGUGAGUAACCUGCCCUUGACUUUGGGAUAACUUCAGGAAACUGGGGCUAAUACCGGAUAGGAGCUCCUGCUGCAUGGUGGGGGUUGGAAAGUUUCGGCGGUUGGGGAUGGACUCGCGGCUUAUCAGCUUGUUGGUGGGGUAGUGGCUUACCAAGGCUUUGACGGGUAGCCGGCCUGAGAGGGUGACCGGCCACAUUGGGACUGAGAGACGCCCCAGACUCCUACGGGAGGCAGCAGUGGGGAAUAUUGCACAAUGGGCGGAAGCCUGAUGCAGCAACGCCGCGUGCGGGAUGACGGCCUUCGGGUUGUAAACCGCUGUCGCCUGUGACGAAGCGUGAGUGACGGUAAUGGGUAAAGAAGCACCGGCUAACUACGUG